CUGGACCUUGUGGAGCAGGCCCGCUGUGUGUAUACAGGCCCGGACACCACCAGUAUGGAAGACCUACCUGCCCAGUGCCCACUGCUGAUGCUGCCCUUUUAAAUCUCAGUAUACAGGUCAUUGUUCUCACUAGCGUGGCAUGGAGCCGCUUUGCCUGCACACCCUGGAAUUAAAGCAUGAAGUCUUGCAAAAGAUUGGCUACGGCAGGCAGAACCAAAAAGAUAUAACGACAGGUUUACAGAGUAUUGACACACAGGUACGGAUUCAGAUAUGCAGAAUACAGG